rnacentral:rRNA from 1 species
GACGAACGCUGGCGGCGUGCCUAAUACAUGCAAGUCGAACGCUUCUUUCCUCCCGAAUGCUUGCACUCAAUUGGAAAGAGGAGUGGCGGACGGGUGAGUAACACGUGGAUAACCUACCCAUCAGAGGGGGAUAACACUUGGAAACAGGUGCUAAUACCGCAUAACAGUUUAUGCCGCAUGGCAUAAGAGUGAAAGGCGCUUUCGGGUGUCGCUGAGGGAUGGACCCGCGGUGCAUUAGCUAGUAGGUGAGGUAACGGCUCACCAAGGCCACGAUGGAUAGCCGACCUGAGAGGGUGAUCGGCCACACUGGGACUGAGACACGGCCCAGACUCCUACGGGAGGCAGCAGUAGGGAAUCUUCGGCAAUGGACGGAAGUCUGACCGAGCAACGCCGCGUGAGUGAAGAAGGUUUUCGGAUCGUAAAACUCUGUUGUUAGAGAAGAACAAGGACGUUAGUAACUGAACGUCCCCUGACGGUAUCUAACCAGAAAGCCACGGCUAACUACGUGCCAGCCGCCGCCGUAA